rnacentral:rRNA from 1 species
AAACUUAAAGGAAUUGACGGGACCCGCACAAGCGUGGAUGAUGUGGAUUAAUUCGAUGCAACGCGAAGAACCUUACCUACCCUUGACAUGUCCGGAACUUGCCAGAGAUGGCUUGGUGCCCGAAAGGGAACCGGAACACAGGUGCUGCAUGGCUGUCGUCAGCUCGUGUCGUGAGAUGUUGGGUUAAGUCCCGCAACGAGCGCAACCCUUGUCCUUAGUUGCUACGCAAGAGCACUCUAAGGGGACUGCCGGUGACAAACCGGAGGAAGGUGGGGAUGACGUCAAGUCCUCAUGGCCCUUAUGGGUAGGGCUUCACACGUCAUACAAUGGUCGGUACAGAGGGUUGCCAAGCCGCGAGGUGGAGCCAAUCCCACAAAGCCGAUCGUAGUCCGGAUUGUUCUCUGCAACUCGAGAGCAUGAAGUCGGAAUCGCUAGUAAUCGCAGGUCAGCAUACUGCGGUGAAUACGUUCCCGGGUCUU